CAACUUCAGUAAAGAAGAUUAAAAACCCUGUGAACCCUUAUUGGAGAGCUGUGUUAAUCUCUUGCAGAUAAUGAGAGGUGGAGACACUCCACAUCCUUCUCAUGUAUAAUGAAGCAGUACUGCUGUAAUGCUCUGACUGAUGAGCAGUAUUGCUGCCAGCAGGAAGAGCUGGCACAUCUGGCCAACACUUGUGCUACAUACUUGGAGUCCAGCAGAAAUUGCUGGUCACUGAUGAAAUGAGCCAAAGCUAACUCGCAAAGUUGUAAUAACACGAUUCUAAACAAACCAUGAAACAGGUAAGGUUUGAACCCAUGGCAAGUGGCCUGGAGUUUUAGAACUCACUUGUCAUGGGUUCAGACUCCAUCUACUCUGUUUCUUUUCAGCCAAAACUGAGUUGUCUUGAAGAGCUUCAUCAAAACUCUCAAGGAAGUUAACAGGUGAUUUUCUUUGAUUGGACGUUUUAGUUGUGGUUGAGACUUGGUCAGUUGAAGGGAGCAAUGACGGAGGCAUCAGCCCUCAGGCUAUUGAGGGAAGAAGUUGUUAAAGAGAAACUUGUUCACCUGUAGUAAUCGACAUUUUGCAAUUAUUGUUGCUCCUGGUUCUCUUAUGUCUUUACCUGUGGGAUAUCUGAUUAGUGCUUGAGGGCAGUGUAAUGAUCACCUCCAUCUGUUUUAAUAAAGAUGCAGCUUUCCAGGCAGUGGAGUUGCAGUCAGGUGGGUGAUUUAAAGCAAAUACUUUAAUUUUGAUUGCUCUUGGCAAAAUUUGGUUUAUUUUCACAGGUUUUUGCUUUAGGUUUCCAUAUCCCUUGUUACUAAAUGACUCAUUGUUGGACCAUUCUAAGAAACCUGGUUGAUAAUAAUAAUAACAAUGUCCAAGUGUGAGCAGGUUAAUAUUUUGUGAAGGGAUUCAGAAAACCAGUUAGCUGGACUUGAGUCCUGGAGGGAGAUGGGAUAUUUGCUGUUUGGAGUGACAUCUGAACUGUCAUAUCUGGGCACUUCUGCAAAGACACUGAUGAUGUGUGAAUGAUAUUGAAAGUGUUGAAUGAUGGUGAAAGUUUUUCUUACUUUCUCUUGGGUUCCCCGGCCUUGGUGGGAGACGGUCAGCGUGUUAGAAAAAUAAUAAUAAGAAUAAUAAUCUUUAUUUCUACAAGUACAUGUACAAGAUAUACAGACCUACCUGAAGAAGCUGAGUAGUGGAGCAAACACCUGAGCUUCCCCAGCCACUGCUCCAUUUUGUUGUUCUCAAAGAAAUUAUUAUAUCCUGUCCAGUCCAAUGUGUCUGCCACUUCUAACUUCUACUUCCAUUUGCAUAAAUAAAUCCACCUACUGAUUUGGACUAUUAGAUUCUCGUUUUAGCUAUGAGUCUACCUUGACACAAGUUUGCUCUCAUAUUUAUAUUUUAUGCAUACCAUGGUAUCACCAUCUCUGUCAUACAUGACUACUUAUGCUCUAUCUGCAUUCAGGAUGUUUCUCAGACUUGCUGCACCUAACAUACAACUGGCAUUUCCAGACAGUCAUUUGUUAUAUAUACCUGAAUUAACACUGUGGAAUGGUUGUCCUUCCUUAAAUGAUCAUUUUCACUCAAUCUUUUGAAGAAUGUGCCAGAGAUAUCUGCAACCAGUUCAAACCCCACACAUGUCUGUUAUAUGUAUGCAAACAAUGUGGCUAAAGUUGUACUUAACUGGUACUCUGUGGCCUGGCUGGCAAAACUCUCGCUUCACACACGGAGGGCCUGGGUUCGAUUCACGGCAGGGUAGAAACAUUUUGACACAUUUCCUUACACCUGUUGUCCUGUUCACCUAGCAGCAAAUAGGUACCUGGGUGUUAGUCGACUGGUGUGGGUCGCAUCCUGGGGGACAUGAUUGAGGACCCCAGUGGAAAUAAGUCAGACAGUCCUCGAUGAUGCACUAACUUUUUUGGGUUAUCCUGGGUGGCUAACCCUCCGGGGUUAAAAAUCCGAAUGAAAUAUCUUUAUCUGGGUACAACCCACCCAGAGAUAAGUGUUAAAUCUCCUAGUAAUUUGGCUUUCCAGCAAAGUACAAAUGUUCUUUUGCAACAACAACUAACACUCUUCCCCUCAGUGGUGGGUAACACAUUACCUCAGUAGUUCAAGGAAUCAUUCCACAUAUUUCUCUACAAGUCCAAUUUUCAAACAGGAAUGCAACUUUCACUGUUUACAAGAGGAAAGGCGCAUUGUAUGGUCAUGAUGUGAUGUUAUCUACUUGUGUUAUCCCAGUACACAGCAGCUUCCAGGUGUUCCUGAAGUCUACCUGGAGAGAGUUCCAGGGGUCAAUGCCCUCACGGCCCGGUCUGUCACCAGGCCUCAUGAUGGAUCAGGGCCUGAUCAACCAGGCUAUUGCUGCUGGCUGCAUGCAAUCCAGUGUACGAGCCACAGCCCGGCUGGUCAGGUACCGACUGGAGGCUGGGAGCGUGGUGUGGGUGGCAGGGGGGAUGGUGGUAGGUCUCCCCCAUUGACUCAAUGGCGUAACGCACCGCAGGUGACCACGCGCUCAAAAUUUUUUCCCCUCCGCGAACCGUGUUAAAUUAAUUUUUCGACAUGUUACAUAAAAUUGUGUCACAAUUCCUCAAUCGUGCUAUAACCAAAUCAUGCCAAAUAAACUCAUGUUAAAUGAUGGUCUACUGUAUAUUGAGUGUAAGUUUGUUGGUCGUCAUCCAGUUUGAUAUUUUGUGUAGCUUGCUGUUUACAGUGUUACUAAGUACAGCCAGGUUUGGGUGGGAGAAGACGUAAGUGGUGUCAUCUGCGAAUAGAUAAGACUUCGUUCGGAUUUUUAACCCCAAAUGGUUAGCCACCCAGGAUAACCCAAGAAAGGCAGAGUGUCAUCGAGGACUAUCUGUCUUAUUUCCAUUGGAGUCCUCAGUCUUGUCCCCCAGGAUGCAACCCACAACAGUCAGCUAACACCCAGGUACCUAUUUGCUGCUAGGUGAACAGGACAACAGGUAUAAGGAAAUGCAUCGAAAUGUUUCCACCCUACCGGGAAUCAAACCCAGGCCCUCCGUGUGUGAAGCGAGAGCUUUGCCAGCCAGGCCACAGGGUUUAGGGAGUUGCAAUGCAUUUGAGAGGUCAUUGAUGUAAACAAGAAAGAGUAGAGGACCUAGGACAUUUCCCUGUGGCACUCCAACAACUAUAGGUUGAGUAUUGGAGGUCAUUCCAUUUGUGUAUGCUUACGGGUGUCUACCACUAAGAUAAGAUUUUAGGUAAUUGAGAGUGUCCUCUGAUGCCAUAAUGCUCUAGUUUUAGGUACAAGAUAUUGUGGUCUACUGUAUCAAAUGCUUUCCGUAGGUCUAUGAAGAGCCCUAGAGGAUGUUCAUUUUUUCAGUUGUUGUAUAUAGUAAUUUGAGCAUCUGAAUAAUUGCAUCAUUUGUACUUUUUUUUUUGGCCUGAACCCAAACUGGCAAGGGUUCAGUAUGUUAUGGGACAGGAGGUAGGAGUAGAUUUGUGGUAAAUAAUGUGUGUGAAGUGUAUCAGCAGUGUUUACAUAUUCUCGUCGCUACUUUUCCUCCUCCUCAGCUUCAUGCUUCUUACUCAUAUUUUUAAAACUGAAAAUUUGGUUUAUUUUCACAGGUUUUUGCUUUAGGUUUCCAUAUCCCUUGUUACUAUUUUUUAUUUUUUUUAUUUAAAAAAUUAUAAAUAUGUAUUUAGUAGUGCAUAGUUACAGAAGCAUUAUGGUCGUCAAUUUCACAGCAGUGAGAUGGAAACAGCUCCUUGGGUCAUUAGAGUUCUUAAACCCAACAACAACAUCAGCGAUAACCUGAGGGGUUUUUUGUAUUUUGAUAAUUUUUUUCAAUUUGGAAAGGGAUAGCUUGUGUUUGCAGGUGACUGUGGUUGUGGUAGAGGUAUGUGGUAGUUGUGGGAGGUGAUAGCAACAUAACUAUAGUAUUAAUCAAUGGUCGAGUGUAUUUUAAACAUUUGUCUCCAUUUUGUGCUCAAAGAAUAUGAAACAGUGUUACAUUUUCUACAUUGGCUUCAAUUUCAGCUCAAAAAUAAAAAUAUGAAGUAAUUGUUACAAAUAACUUAAAAUAGAUUUCCAUUCUACAUUCAUAUAUGGUUCACUUACACAGUCAUCCCAUGAAAAAGCUAAUCAAUAAUACAAAAAGGGAAUAGAAAGAAACAUAAAAUGGGUACACACCACACAUGCAUACAUUGCUGUGAAUUAAAAAAUUGCUGCAUGCUAUAAUAAGGUACUGUGCAUGUCUUGCUGUAAGUGGGUUCACAGUCCCAGCAGUUAAUGGUCCAAGGAGAUCAAGGUCAAGAAAAGGUGUAUCUCACUUGUCACACCUGGAGGCAGUAACGCUAGUACUGUGAGGCACUGGCUACACACCAUAUACAGCCUCUCCUCACUUAACGAUGAAGUUCCAUUCCUAAGACUACAUCAGUAAACGAAUUCGUCACAAAGUGAGGAGCACACUAUAAUGGUAGUGGGUUUGUGUCAACCAUCUUUGAUAUUGUUUUAAUAUCAUCUUUGCACCAUUUAUAACAUUUCUGGUAUAUUUUUAAACAUUUGUACAGUAGUGUAUAUUGUAAUAAAAAGAAUAGAGGAAAUCAGCUCUAAUAUUAUUUAGGCAUGCAUACUGAUCAGAGUCCGUUGUAAGUCUGAGGCGUCGCUAAGUGAGGAGAGGCUGUACUUCAGACAUCCUGCCGUGAAAACCCUCUGUAAUUCUCUCUUCUCUCCUUGUGAUGAUUCCCAGUGCAUGGCAGUUAGCCAGAGGCAACUGCACUGCUCUUACAAUUAUCAUUAAUAAAAUCUUUAUUAAAUUAUUCUGUAAAGUGCUUAAAAACUACGAUGUUGUCUGUUGUAGUAAAAAAAUAUAGAAAAAUAUUUUUAAAUAUUUGCAGUUUACAUAUCUGUGAUAAUGUUGAUGUUGGCAAGCAUGAGAUGCUUUAUUAAUAUGGUGCUUUAUUUCAUCAGUCAGUUUUAAUACAGGGCUCACCAACUCACCAAUUUUUACAACUGCCACUGUGCAUUUACAAGAUAAUAAGACUCAGUGUGCAGUUUAUCGCAUUUUAUUGAGAAUGUUCAUGUAGCAGGGACCUUAUCACUACAGUGAUAAAGCUCUUGGUAGACCAAACAUCUUUACAAUAAGACACCAUCAUCCACAUAUUGCUGAAGAAUUAGACUUUUGCAACAGUUGGGAAUCUUUAUUGUGGGAUAUUUUCACAAUAUGUUGCAUAUGUGCCUUAAUUCUUCAGCUUGUUACUUUUCUAAACCAUUUACAUCAUAGCAUAUACUGUGUCUUGUUAAACAUACUUGUCAGUAUAUAAUAGCAUUGAUUUGCAACAUGUACAGAUAACCUGCAUAUACAAGAGACAAUCAUAUGGCAGUGUGACUUAGACCAAGUCACAGUGUCACUUGUAAAUGGUACAAGUCAGACCAAAAUGUCAUCAUAAGCUU